AGAAGAACAGGGAUCCUCCACUGCUUGCUCCUAAGAAGCAGUAAAUGCAGAGAGCUGACCAGGAAGGACCCCAGACCCAGCACUUCUUUCAACCAAGCGCCCACAGACUGACUUGCAGUUUCCUUCCUUAACUUCCCACUCCUCACCCCCUCUAUUUUGUUCGUGUGCCUUGUGCUGGGCUUUGUGUCACAUGUAAGAAGCCAAGUUAAGCCUGUGUGGUGAAAUAUCACUGAAUUUAGAACUCUGAACCUGCUUUACAAUUACUUUAACCUUGUUUUAUGACGCAACAAAAACUGACAUCGUGGAAGGACACAACUGGUGUGUGUGAGCCUUCACAGCUUGCUCAUGACAAAGGGACAACGUUUUUCCCCCCUAAAUCUACCAUCCUGAGAUGACACAGCCCCCAGGAAAAAUGGCCAAAGACAUUAACUUGGCAGGAUGGUGGAAUGAGAGGCGCUGUCCACUGAAGCCCCUGUCCAUGAAGCCUUGAGAGAAUUCUGGAACAAAGGGGAAAAGAUUUGCCAGUAGAAAGGACAUCACUCCAUCUGGUUUCCAGCCCAUGAAGAUCCCUAUGUAGGAGAUUUCUGGUUGUCCACUUCUUGGUGAUUCUGAAUUUGGUUUUUUCCUUUAGGUAUAGAGCCAUGGAAGAAGUAUUUGAUUGAUUCGUUUGUUUGCUUUUCUAAUUAACAGUGAGUAAGUUAUUUAAUUCUCUGCCUUCUCAGUUGCAAUAUGAAGAUAACAUUUAUGCUAAAGAAAACAAAUAACCUCUCUGUAGUUUCUGUUAAAUAGUACGAACUUCCGUAAGACAAGACUACUUAACAGGAUUCACUUUGUCAUGGUCAAUCUUCCCCCCUCAUCAUCUUGCACAGGACCUUCCAUAGACCAGACUAGAGCAACUGGAAGAUAUUAUUAUUGUUACACUAACACUGAUGAGAUGGAAGAACUGGAAAAUCAAAUGCUUUACCAUUGUAAAACAGUAAAUCUG
rnacentral:lncRNA from 1 species